rnacentral:lncRNA from 1 species
UCUAUUCAUCAUCAUCAUCAUCAUCUGUCGUUUGUCAAUCUAUGAUAUGGUUGAAAACGCCACCUUCAUCAUCAUCAGCGGCUCGCAGAGAAAACAACACCAAUAAGGCAAAGGCAAUCACGGCUAUGACGUUGUGUUCAUCAUCACCAGACACCAUCACAACCAGUAACUAUCUUCGAUAGGGUCAGAAGUGUCCAGCUCGUAUUCGCCUUCGUUGCUUCGCAAGAUGUCGAUCUCUGAAGUUCAUGAAUACUAAAUAUGUGAACCAUGAGUUUCAACCUUGCUAUGCUUUGUUAUGCUUAUAUGAUUUAUGCUUUAAAAUAUUUUUGAUUGUUG